GGGCCCUUAGCUCAGCGGUUAGAGCAUCGGACUCAUAAUCCGUAGGUCCCAGGUUCAAAUCCUGGAGGGCCCA
rnacentral:tRNA from 1 species